rnacentral:rRNA from 1 species
UACGGAGGAUGCAAGCGUUCUCCGGAAUGAUUGGGCGUAAAGCGUCCGCAGGUGGCUAUGUAAGUCUGCUGUUAAAGAGUCUAGCUCAACUAGAUAAGAGCAGUGGAAACUACAAGGCUAGAGUACGUUCGGGGCAGAGGGAAUUCCUGGUGUAGCGGUGAAAUGCGUAGAGAUCAGGAAGAACACCAGUGGCGAAGGCGCUCUGCUAGGCCGUAACUGACACUGAGGGACGAAAGCUAGGGGAGCGAAUGGG